rnacentral:rRNA from 1 species
AACGAACGCUGGCGGCAGGCUUAACACAUGCAAGUCGAACGCCCCGCAAGGGGAGUGGCAGACGGGUGAGUAACGCGUGGGAAUCUACCCAGUUCUACGGAACAACAGUUGGAAACGACUGCUAAUACCGUAUACGCCCUACGGGGGAAAGAUUUAUCGGAAUUGGAUGAGCCCGCGUAAGAUUAGCUAGUUGGUGAGGUAAUGGCUCACCAAGGCGACGAUCUUUAGCUGGUCUGAGAGGAUGAUCAGCCACACUGGGACUGAGACACGGCCCAGACUCCUACGGGAGGCAGCAGUGGGGAAUAUUGGACAAUGGGCGCAAGCCUGAUCCAGCCAUGCCGCGUGAGUGAUGAAGGCCUUCGGGUCGUAAACCGCUUUUCGGCGGGAAGAGAGCGACGGUACCGCCGGAAUCAGUCUCGGCUAACUACGUGCCAGCCGCCGCAGUAAAAC